GCAAGCCAGAUCCUAGCCUUAGCCAAAUAAGGAGCACCUGCCAUCGGGAAGGCAGAAGCCGGAUGCCGAUGCCAUCCUUGCGGUGCGGCCAUGCACGGCUCUCUACAGCUAUACUGGCGGCCCAAAAACAAAUCUGUCUACAACUGCAUCUGGGGAAGUGGAAGACAUAUGACACAAUCCAGAGUUGAGGUCAAGUCAGACUUAGGGCUGGAAAAGCAAGUCCUGGCUGAAUAAGUGUUACAGAAAACCACCACCUUUUGAAGAAAACAGGCAUAAAAUACUUAACAGAGUGCCACCCAACACCAAAAGUUACAUCAGCUUUCCUUGGGAGUUUUCAAGGAGCUGGCAGAAAAGACCCCCAGUUUUCUUCAUUUGAGCAAAGUUUAGAGAGAUGCUACCUGGAGACCACUUCGCUGAUUUUCCCUGAAGACAGUUCAAGAUUUCUUUUCCUACAACCAGCUGUCCUUUGGAUGGACCCUGGACUGGUCUCUGCUUCAUUAUCCUGCCUUUGUUUCCCUUUGUUUAUUUGCAGUUCUGGGGACCAAGCCCAGGACUCCACACAUGACAGGUAAGUGUCCUACCACAGAGCUACAACCCCAGCCCUGUUAUUCACUGCUGGAAAGAGUCAUCCAUUAUCCUAAGUCUACUGUCUGUUUAGUA